CGCGGUCCGGGCUUGCACCCCGCUGGGCAAAGUACCCGGGGCUGUCACACGGCGAGCUGAGCCCUGGGCCGGCGGAACAGCAAGCCAUUGGAGAGUCCUGAGCAGAGAAAGGACUGACCUGCCUCAUGUUUUAAAUCUGGCUGCCGUAUUGGAAGUAGAUUGGAGGAAAAAAAAGUGGAAGCCCUGGGACCCACCAUCAUGAACAAUCGGGGAGAAGACAAGAGGCCAGCAAAGGAAUGAACACAGGGACGCAUGAGACAUUUGGUGCCGAAGACCUGGGUCAGCGGGACUCCUUUGGGAGACCAGUCCCCCAUCCUCACCCUCACUCUGUGAAGAGAUCCACCUACGACCUUGGGUCCUCAGACCAACCAGCCUAAGGAACAUCUCACCUAUUUUAAAUCGGGAAUGUCAGGCCUCUGAACCCAAGCUAAGCCAUCA
rnacentral:lncRNA from 1 species